UGGUAGCUAGUUUAACUUAAAACAACUGAUUUCGACUCAAUAAACUAUGAUUUAGUUCAUAGCUAUCAC
rnacentral:tRNA from 1 species